GUGCACUACACUUGAUCGAAUUUCUCAUUUCUAUGGGUCUCAUUCGUCAUACGGCUUGUUCCGGAUCGUCGCUUUCUUUAUCUCAUUUUAGAUUAUUCAUGUGGUGUAUCACUGAUGUGGUGUAUCUGAUGUAGGAUAUAAUUUCAUCCAUCAGUAUUGAAUAUAAAAUUAUUCCUUUCUUUUUAGUUUAGAUAUUAUAAACAAGUGUCAUUAAAUACAGGGU
rnacentral:lncRNA from 1 species